rnacentral:rRNA from 1 species
UACGUAGGGGGCAAGCGUUGUCCGGAAUUAUUGGGCGUAAAGAGCGCGUAGGCGGUCCGGUAAGUCCGCUGUGAAAUCCCCGGGCUCAACCUGGGAAUGGCGGUGGAAACUGGCGAGCUAGAGUGUGUCAGAGGGGGGGUGGAAUUCCACGUGUAGCAGUGAAAUGCGUAGAGAUGUGGAGGAACACCAAUGGCGAAGGCAGCCCCCUGGGAUAAACACUGACGCCUCAGGCACGAAAGCGUGGGGAGCAAACAGG